rnacentral:rRNA from 1 species
AACGAACGCUGGCGGCAUGCCUAACACAUGCAAGUCGAACGAGACCUUCGGGUCUAGUGGCGCACGGGUGCGUAACGCGUGGGAACCUGCCCUUAGGUUCGGAAUAACUCCCCGAAAGGGGUGCUAAUACCGGAUAAUUUCUUCGGACCAAAGAUUUAUCGCCUUUGGAUGGGCCCGCGUUGGAUUAGCUAGUUGGUAGGGUAAAAGCCUACCAAGGCGACGAUCCAUAGCUGGUCUGAGAGGAUGAUCAGCCACACUGGGACUGAGACACGGCCCAGACUCCUACGGGAGGCAGCAGUGGGGAAUAUUGGAGAAUGGGCGAAAGCCUGAUCCAGCAAUGCCGCGUGAGUGAUGAAGGCCUUAGGGUUGUAAAGCUCUUUUACCCGGGAUGAUAAUGACAGUACCGGGAGAAUAAGCUCCGGCUAACUCCGUG